rnacentral:rRNA from 1 species
AUUGAACGCUGGCGGCAGGCCUAACACAUGCAAGUCGAACGGUAACAGGAAGCAGCUUGCUGCUUUGCUGACGAGUGGCGGACGGGUGAGUAAUGUCUGGGAAACUGCCCGAUGGAGGGGGAUAACUGCUGGAAACGGUAGCUAAUACCGCAUAACGUCGCAAGACCAAAGAGGGGGACCUUAGGGCCUCUUGCCAUCGGAUGUGCCCAGAUGGGAUUAGCUAGUAGGUGGGGUAACGGCUCACCUAGGCGACGAUCCCUAGCUGGUCUGAGAGGAUGACCAGCCACACUGGAACUGAGACACGGUCCAGACUCCUACGGGAGGCAGCAGUGGGGAAUAUUGCACAAUGGGCGCAAGCCUGAUGCAGCCAUGCCGCGUGUAUGAAGAAGGCCUUCGGGUUGUAAAGUACUUUCAGCGGUGAGGAAGGGAGUAAAGUUAAUACCUUUGCUCAUUGACGUUACCCGCAGAAGAAGCACCGGCUAACUCCGUG